rnacentral:rRNA from 1 species
GGUUAAGUUAGAAAGGGCGCACGGUGGAUGCCUUGGCACUAGGAGCCGAAGAAGGACGGGACUAACACCGAUAUGCUUUGGGGAGCUGUACGUAAGCGUUGAUCCAGAGAUUUCCGAAUGGGGGAACCCACUAUCUUUAGUCGGAUAGUAUCCUUACGUGAAUACAUAGCGUGAGGAAGGCAGACCCAGGGAACUGAAACAUCUAAGUACCUGGAGGAAGAGAAAGAAAAAUCGAUUUCCUGAGUAGCGGCGAGCGAAACGGAAAGAGCCCAAACCAAGAAGCUUGCUUCUUGGGGUUGUAGGACACUCUAUACGGAGUUACAAAAGAAAGUUAUAAAUGAAGCGGUCUGGAAAGGCCCGCCAAAGACGGUAACAGCCCGGUAGUUGAAAUGGCUUUCCCUCCAGAGUGGAUCCUGAGUACGGCGGAACACGUGAAAUUCCGUCGGAAUCCGGGAGGACCAUCUCCCAAGGCUAAAUACUCCCUAGUGACCGAUAGUGAACCAGUACCGUGAGGGAAAGGUGAAAAGCACCCCGGAAGGGGAGUGAAACAGUUCCUGAAACCGUGUGCCUACAAGUAGUUAGAGCCCGUUAAUGGGUGAUAGCGUGCCUUUUGUAGAAUGAACCGGCGAGUUACGAUUUGUUGCAAGGUUAAGCGGAAAAAGCGGAGCCGUAGCGAAAGCGAGUCUGAAUAGGGCGCAUAAGUAACAGGUCGUAGACCCGAAACCAGGUGAUCUACCCAUGUCCAGGAUGAAGGUAAGGUAAUACUUACUGGAGGUCCGAACCCACGCACGUUGAAAAGUGCGGGGAUGAGGUGUGGGUAGCGGAGAAAUUCCAAUCGAACUUGGAGAUAGCUGGUUCUCUCCGAAAUAGCUUUAGGGCUAGCCUCGAGGUAAAGAGUCAUGGAGGUAGAGCACUGUUUGGACUAGGGGCCCUUCUCGGGUUACCGAAUUCAGAUAAACUCCGAAUGCCAUGUACUUAUACUCGGGAGUCAGACUGCGAGUGAUAAGAUCCGUAGUCGAAAGGGAAACAGCCCAGACCACCAGUUAAGGUCCCCAAAUAUAUGUUAAGUGGAAAAGGAUGUGGGGUUGCUUAGACAACCAGGAUGUUGGCUUAGAAGCAGCCACCAUUGAAAGAGUGCGUAAUAGCUCACUGGUCGAGUGACCCCGCGCCGAAAAUGUACCGGGGCUAAACAUAUUACCGAAACUGUGGAUGAACCUCUUUAGAGGUUCGUGGUAGGAGAGCGUUCUAAGGGCGGUGAAGUCAGACCGGAAGGACUGGUGGAGCGCUUAGAAGUGAGAAUGCCGGUAUGAGUAGCGAAAGAAGGGUGAGAAUCCCUUCCACCGAAUAUCUAAGGUUUCCUGAGGAAGGCUCGUCCGCUCAGGGUUAGUCGGGACCUAAGCCGAGGCCGAUAGGCGUAGGCGAUGGACAACAGGUAGAGAUUCCUGUACCAGUGCUAAUUGUUUAACCGAUGGGGUGACACAGAAGGAUAGGGAAUCGCACGAAUGGAAAUGUGCGUCCAAGCAGUGAGUGUGAGAAGUAGGCAAAUCCGCUUCUCGCGAAGCAUGAGCUGUGAUGGGGAAGGAAAUUAAGUACGGAAGUUCCUGAUUUCACGCUGUCAAGAAAAGCCUCUAGGAAGAGUAGUACUGCCCGUACCGCAAACCGACACAGGUAGAUGAGGAGAGAAUCCUAAGGUGAGCGAGAGAACUCUCGUUAAGGAACUCGGCAAAAUGACCCCGUAACUUCGGGAGAAGGGGUGCUCUAUUAGGGUGCAAGCCCGAGAGAGCCGCAGUGAAUAGGCCCAGGCGACUGUUUAGCAAAAACACAGGUCUCUGCAAAACCGUAAGGUGACGUAUAGGGGCUGACGCCUGCCCGGUGCUGGAAGGUUAAGAGGAGUGCUUAGCUUCGGCGAAGGUACGAAUUGAAGCCCCAGUAAACGGCGGCCGUAACUAUAACGGUCCUAAGGUAGCGAAAUUCCUUGUCGGGUAAGUUCCGACCCGCACGAAAGGCGCAACGAUCUGGGCACUGUCUCAACGAGAGACUCGGUGAAAUUAUAGUACCUGUGAAGAUGCAGGUUACCCGCGACAGGACGGAAAGACCCCGUGGAGCUUUACUGCAACCUGAUAUGGAAUGUUUGUACCGCUUGUACAGGAUAGGUAGGAGCCGAAGAGACGUGUGCGCUAGCAUACGAGGAGGCAAUGGUGGGAUACUACCCUGGCUGUAUGACCAUUCUAACCCGCCACGCUUAGCGCGUGGGGAGACAGUGUCAGGUGGGCAGUUUGACUGGGGCGGUCGCCUCCUAAAGAGUAACGGAGGCGCCCAAAGGUUCCCUCAGAAUGGAUGGAAAUCAUUCGCAGAGUG